UUGGAGUUGAAAUGAAGAAGUUAUGGUCAUUUGAAAAAAAACACGUAAAGUUGAAGGACUAUGGAUUUUUACCCUAUUAUGGAUUGUGAAUGUGACAUUACCCUCAUGAGAGGCUAAAAAGAAAAUUGGGCUAGAAGCAUGAAAACCUAAGGGCUAACAACUUAUAGGAAUAAUGGGUAAAUUAUUGUAACAGUGAGAUUGAUUAUUGGUUGGAUUAUAAUUUAUCAAUUUUUAUCUUAUCCUUGUGUGCCAG
rnacentral:lncRNA from 1 species